rnacentral:rRNA from 1 species
ACAUCCAGAGAAUUUAGCAGAGAUGCUUUAGUGCCUUCGGGAACUCUGAGACAGGUGCUGCAUGGCUGUCGUCAGCUCGUGUUGUGAAAUGUUGGGUUAAGUCCCGNAACGAGCGCAACCCUUAUCCUUUGUUGCCAGCACGUAAUGGUGGGAACUCAAAGGAGACUGCCGGUGAUAAACCGGAGGAAGGUGGGGAUGACGUCAAGUCAUCAUGGCCCUUACGAGUAGGGCUACACACGUGCGUACAAUGGCGCAUACAAAGAGAAGCGACCUCGCGAGAGCAAGCGGACCUCAUAAAGUGCGUCGUAGUCCGGAUUGGAGUCUGCAACUCGACUCCAUGAAGUCGGAAUCGCUAGUAAUCGUAAAUCAGAAUGUUACGGUGAAUACGUUCCCGGGCCUUGUACACACCGCCCGUCACACCAUGGGAGUGGGUUGCAAAAGAAGUAGAUAGCUUAACCUUCGGGAGGGCGUUUACCACUUUGUGAUUCAUGACUGGGGUGAAGUCGUAACAAGGUAAGCGUAGUGCU